GGCUAGCAGCGUCGGAGCUGGCAGGGCUUCUGUAAGUCCUCUGCUCCCACCCUGCUCCCAUUUCACAGGCGAGGAAACAAAGGCCCAAAGAAGAGUUCCGCCCGGGGCGGAACGUGACAGGGCUCGCAACACAACCGUCUCCGGAGAUCCCUCUCCUCUGCACCACUUGGAGGCUCCACGGAGAGGCAGCGGUGCGCGGGGCGACGGGGAGCUGCCAGAGAAGCAGUGGUGAGCCAUGGAAGGUUUCUGAACAGAGCACUUAUUGGGAGCUGUCAGAGCUGUGCUUCAGGAGAUGAAUCUGGCAACAACGUGGGUUAAUAUUAAUGCCCUGUAUGUCCUGAGUACAUGUUUCUAGAAAGAGGUGAUCCAGGAGGCUGCCAAGUGGCCUGCAGGUGACAUCCAGAGGGUAGAAAAUGCCCAUGCAGGUCCAUGUGUGGGUCCUUAAGCUCUAAUUUGAGAAAAAGGGAGGAGAAAAGGACAAAGAAGGCUUUCCCCUUCCCUUGGAUCCCCUUCUGCUCCC